GACCCAGUUUUCUUUUAUUCUUCUUUUUCCAACUUCUAUAUUAUGUGAGGAUUGUUGUAAUAUUUAUGUGUUAUAUUCCAUUAGGAAAAAAUCUAGUGUUAUCUAGCUCACUCACACUUCAACAUGCACGUAUAUCUUCAAAUAAUAAGAUUUGUAGGGUUCGUGCACAAAAUCUCAAGACUUAAUAUUGAGUCUUAUUUUAGCUUUUUAAGUAUGUCUCAUUUUAAAAUCUUACUAAUUCCACCC
rnacentral:lncRNA from 1 species